GGUGGCCUAGUGGUUAGAGUGUCCGCCUCGGAUGCGGGAGGUCGUGGGUUCGAUCCUAGGUAAAGUCAUACCAAAAACA